GGCGCACGGGUGAGUAACACGUAGCUCAUCGACCCCAGAGAGCGGGAUAACGCAUCGAAAGGUGUGCUAAUACCGCAUAAGCUCCCAAACUGCAGAGGUUCGGGAGAAAAGUUAAGGCGCUCUGGGAAGAGGCUGCGGCCCAUCAGCUAGUUGGUAGGGUAAAGGCCUACCAAGGCAACGACGGGUAGGGGACCUGAGAGGGUGACCCCCCACACGGGGACUGAGACACGGCCCCGACUCCUACGGGAGGCAGCAGUGAGGGAUAUUGCGCAAUGGGCGAAAGCCUGACGUAGCGACGCCGCGUGGGCGAAGAAGGUUUUCGGAUCGUAAAGCCCUUUUUCAGGUGACGAGUAAGGACGGUAGCCUGAGAAGAAGUGUCGGCUAACUACGUGCCAGCAGCCGCGGUAAAACGUAGGACGCAAGCGUUAUCCGGAGUUACUGGGCGUAAAGAGCGCGUAGGCGGGUCGGAAAGGCAUGUGUGAAAGCUCCUGGCAAAACUGGGAGAGGACGGAUGCGACUGCCGAUCUGGAGUGGGUCA
rnacentral:rRNA from 1 species